AUCCAAAAAUAAAUAUGGAAAUAAAUAGCUAAUUAUAUAAAAGUAAAAAUAAAAAUGAAUAUAUAUACAAAAAUAAGAAAUUACAUUAAAAUGUAAGAAUAAAUACAAAAAUAAAUUUGGAAAUAAAUGCAAAAAUAAAUAUAUUGAUUGAAAUAAAUGUCAAUCAAUAAAUAAAAGCGCUUUGCCUUAUAUUUACUUAUUUCAUUGUCAGCGCCAACUUGCAAGUGGAAAUGUAAUUCAAAUGAGGGGGCGUUCCUAAGGGUGCCAUGGGUUGAACUAUUCGCUUAUUGGUUGAUCGACAUUCGAUUUCUGAAAUCUACUAGCCAUGCCUGCCACAGAUGACAGAACGUGGGUCUGAAAGUCAGGGAAACAGCCGACCUAGUUUAGUAGUCCUACUUGGUGAGAAGUGAGAGAAUAUGCAUUAUCCACCGCCGAAUGUCAAAGCAUGGUAUAAGAGUCUCUGACUUGAAUAAUUCCACUGACAUCGCAACGUUGGAUGCUGGGUGAUUACAGGGAUCCCAGGAUCUCAUCCAAAUUCUGGGUUCAGAAUGAUGCAAGGACGUCUCAGGUUCCGACGUACAAAGGUUCAGAGACUUCGUGUGCAAGAAUCCAUGACACGUCUGGAUCCACUGGGAAUUGUCCGCACACUACAACUACAAACUGUUCGCCGUAGAUCAGGGGUCCCCAAACUACGGCCCGCGGGCCGGAUACGGCCCGCAGCCACAUUUGGUCCGGCCCCCUGAACAAAAAAAAAAAAAAAAUGUAAAAAAAAAAAAAAUUUUUUUUUUUUUUUUUCCCAAUAGAGUUAUUUAUGUCCUGGCUUUUUUCUGUGAAGAACUGAGCAAUGGUUAUUUGGUUAUUAUCUGUUUAAUUAAUACAGUAUUAUUAUAUUAUAUUAUAUUAUAUUAUAUUAUAUUAUAUUCAGAGGUGCACAUAAGUGGUCCGCACAUGCGUACUGGACGUAGACAAACGCGCUGGCCCUCAACGGCUUCCAUACGCUUUUGCGUACCGAUGGCUGACCACUCUAUUUGCGGCGGACACGAGAAAAUAACUUCUCAAAAUGUCGAUGAGGCAGGCCACACUGAGUAAUUACUUCCGUGUUCCCCCACCCCCGUCAAAAGACAGACAGACGACAGAGACGUCACCGGAGCUACCGAAAAAAAGGACUUUUGCUGAAAAGUGGCUACAGGAGGUACCAUGGCUAGAAGCGAAUGAUGCUCGCACGGAAAUGUGCCGUGAGAAUCCCAAUGUCGCCGAUUAGAGCAACGCAUUUUAUGUAGGGUCAAAGAAUUUCAGCCAUCCAAAUUUUGAAAAGCACGAAAAAAACAGAGAGCAUGUGGCAAUUAAGCAAACUAUCGAUGUCAAACAGGACCCCACUCGCCCUAUGGACAUGUGGCGGAAUAGGGCGGAAUAAAGGUAAUGAACAGCGAUAUGCACUGACAAACGUGUUUUUGCUCGCAUUUUACAAAGCUAAACAUGCACGUUCAAUGAGGUCUUAUGAGGAGGACAUCCCACUUUUAAAAAGGCUUGGAGUUAAUGUGGGAGCCGCAUAAUGCCCUUUAUUUUGAAUUGGUGCUUUUAUGUUUAUUUCUUUACAUUUCACUUCAAAGUGAUGGCAAUUUUGUUGUGCCAGUUGAUGUUAAUCAAGCAUUAACUGUUAAUAUAAUUAAUCAAAGUUAAUUGGCUCUAAGUAAAGCUUGUCAUAAAUUUAUCGCAUCAGGUGGGUCGGCUCUCAAGCUCAAUGAGGACCAAGUCACAUCUCCAGGUCCUCCUCUGAGAACCUGGGCAAAAAAAAUAUGUGCACCCCUGAUUAUAUUAUAAUAUAUUAUAUUAUAUUAUAUUAUAUUAAGGGCUGUCAAAGUUAUCGCGUUAACGGGCAGUAAUUAAUUUUUUUCAUUAAUCACGUUAAAAUAUUUGACGCAAUUAACGCAUAUGCCCCGUUCAAACAGAUUAAAAUGACAGCAGUGUCAUGUCCACUUGUUACUUGUGUUUUUUGUCUCCCUCUGCUGGCGCUUGGGUGCGACUGAUUUUAUGCACCAUGAGCAUUGUGUAAUUCUUGACAUCAACAAUGGUGAGCUACUAGUUAAUUUUUUUGAUUGAAAAUUUUACCAAUUUUAUUAAAACGAAAACAUUAAGAGGGGUUUUAACAUAAAAUUUCUAUAAUUUGUACUAAAAUCUAUCUUUUAAGAACUACAAGUCUUUCUACCCAGGGAUUGCUUUGACAGAAUAUUAAUGUUAAUGCCAUCUUGUUGAUUUAUUGUUAUAAUAAACAAAUACAGUACUUAUGUACAGUAUGUUGAAUGUAUAUAUCCGUCUUGUGUCUUAUCUUUCCAUUCCAACAAUAAUUUACAGAAAAAUAAGGCAUAUUUUAGAGAUGUUUGAAUUUGCGAUUAAUUACGAUUAAUUUUUAAGCUGUGAUUAACUCGCUUAAAAUUUUUAAUCGUUUGACAGCCCUAAUUAUAUUAUAUUCUACUAUAUUAUAUCAUUUUUAUUUUAUUUACUUUGGUUCCGUGAAGAAUCCAGAAAGGGUUAUUUGAUUGUGGCUUUCUGAAAAACAAUACAUUUUUACAUUUAGGCACUCCUGCAAUCGUCACACUUUUUCUGUUACAAACUGACCCCGGCCCCUCAUCAGAGAAGAGAAGGGUUAUGUGGCCCUCACAGGAAAAAGUUUGGGGACCCCUGCCGUAGAUGAUAUUCUGUGCCAGCCCCCAACAGUCAAAGGCAUAUUAAAGCUCUAUAUUGGGGGACUCGGAAGGAAGUACAAAAAUAAAUUAAGACCAUAUUUUUUUCACCCAUUUUGGAAAGAUAAACCCAUAUACAGUAUAAUAUAGACCAUUUUAAAUUAAGUUUAAAUAUUUCAUGCUUUUAUUAUUUAUAAUGUGCUAGGAAUCUAAUUAAUUUAGAUUUGGAGUGCUUUCGCUGCCAGCCUCUCCCAGUCAAAAAUUGAUUGGAUGUCAAGCGCUGUCAAUGGCAGCCAAUGAGUUAAAUGUUGAUGUUUAUGGCUUGCAAAAAUAAGAAACCCUAAAAUUUUAUGUCUCAGAAUUAAGAAAAAAAAAAUUCUGGGCCCUGCAACACAUUGUCUGUUAUUGCAGAAAUGUUGAUAUAGUUUUAGUUGCCACUUCUGGGAGAUGAUUGAAAUUUUACCCAUCAAAAUCAAAUUAUGAGGUGUGGCACGCCCUCUUUGCUUGUUGGCUCUUUGAAAAUGGCUUAACAAGUUCAACUUCAAAAGGGAUCAUGUAAAGUGCACAUUUCUAAUCAAAAACAUAACAUUAAAAAAAAAAAAAACAAUAAAAGCAUGAAAUAUCCCUGACCAAAAAAGUUAAAUAAAAUUAUAUAAAUGCUAACACUUUCACAGUCUAGGGCUAGGCACAUACAGAUGAGGCUAAUCAAUAACUAAAUUUGCCAUAUACGAUGUGUGCAUGUUUAGUUAUGUUUUAGGACUAGUUGGUUCAACUUUAAAUUACAUAUUUGCAGUUUUAUGUGAUGAUCCACAUGGUCAUCACCCCCAUGUCGAUGUCAGUCCCAGAAGUGCAGCUGCGACAGGCCUCGACUCCUGAAGAAAUUCAGCAGAUGUCAGAAUUUUCUAAUGUAUUGAAUGUCUACAACGAGACUAUCCAUCCUGCGUCAAAUAUUUGGACUUGUUUUAAAUGACAGCAUAGAAUGUUGGUUGUCGUUGAUGUGACAGUACCUCAAUAAUGUGAAGAAAUAAUAAAGGCAAUGAUUGUUUUUCUGCAAAGUAAUAUUUUAUUGAUGACCAGUGUAAUACAAUACAAAUGAUAAACAGGCAAUUGAUGUACAAAAAAGGACUUCCAGCACAACUAACUCGUUCAUCAAAAAAAAUUGUCCACUGGACACCAACAUGAGCCACUUAAGGUCAGUAACUUUUUCCCCUAAUACUGGCCAACUGCUCACCAUCAGCAUUCCCUGAAAUGUAAAUUUAUUGCGUCUUCGGGGAGCUUUAGGGUUAAAAAAAAAAAAAAAAAAAAAGCACGUAGAUAAGUGAGGACGAGAGAUGUCUUAUUGUUGAGGUACGACACCCCAACCUUCCUCAGAAGUAUCUAGAAGAAAAUAGAUGACAACGGCAAAAUGGUAUAAUAGAUUAGCUAUGAAAGCAUUAAACGAGACACCAGCCGGUGCAAACAGUCUCCCGGAGCACCACACGAACUUGAAUGUGUGAAUUUUGCUUCACUAAAUUGCGCUAACGCUAAACUAUUCCUUGUGAGUUUAAUGUUGUUAGCAGCUUUAUCCAUGUCCCACCUUGCCUCCCCUUCCUGAGACCCAAUGCAAGGUAUUAGCUUAUGGAAGAUUAUAUAUAGAUUCAACAUACCUCAACUGGACUUAAGUAAAAAGUUUUUUAAAAAAACACACACCAAAUUACCAAUUCAAUACGUACCUUGUCCUCAUCCAACCGAUUGCCAGCAUC